rnacentral:rRNA from 1 species
UACGAAGGGGACUAGCGUCGUUCGGAAUUACUGGGCGUAAAGCGUGCGCAGGCGGUGAUGUAAGACAGUUGUGAAAUCCCCGGGCUCAACCUGGGAACUGCAUCUGUGACUGCAUCGCUGGAGUGCGGCAGAGGGGGAUGGAAUUCCGCGUGUAGCAGUGAAAUGCGUAGAUAUGCGGAGGAACACCGAUGGCGAAGGCAAUCCCCUGGGCCUGCACUGACGCUCAUGCACGAAAGCGUGGGGAGCAAACAGG